rnacentral:rRNA from 1 species
AGAUGGCGACCGGCGCACGGGUGAGUAACACGUAUCCAACCUGCCGAUAACUCGGGGAUAGCCUUUCGAAAGAAGGAUUAAUACCCGAUGGUAUAAUCAGACCGCAUGGUUUGAUUAUUAAAGAAUUUCGGUUAUCGAUGGGGAUGCGUUCCAUUAGGCAGUUGGUGAGGUAACGGCUCACCAAACCUUCGAUGGAUAGGGGUUCUGAGAGGAAGGUCCCCCACAUUGGAACUGAGACACGGUCCAA